rnacentral:rRNA from 1 species
AGCUCCAGUAGCGUAUAUUAAAGCUGUUGCAGUUAAAAAGCUCGUAGUUGGAUCUUGGGCCCAGGCCUGCGGUCCGCCGUGAGGCGAGUACUGCAGUCCUGGCCUUCCUCUCGGUUUUCGCCCGGUGCCCUUAACUGAGUGCCAGGAGAGGCCGGAACGUUUACUUUGAAAAAAUUGGAGUGUUCAAAGCAGGCCUCGCGCCUGAACAGCAGAGCAUGGAAUAAUGGAAUAGGACCUCGGUUCUAUUGCGUUGGUUUUCGGAACUCGAGGUAAUGAUUAAGAGGGACUGACGGGGGCAUUCGUAUUGCGGUGUGAGAGGUGAAAUUCUUGGAUCGCCGCAAGACGACCGACUGCGAAAGCAUUUGCCAAGAAUGUUUUCAUUA